rnacentral:rRNA from 1 species
UACGGAGGGUGCAAGCGUUAUCCGGAUUUACUGGGUUUAGAGGGUGCGCAGGCGGAUAUGUAAGUCAGUGGUGAAAUCUCUAGGCUUAACCUGGAAAUUGCCGUUGAUACUAUAUAUCUUGAAUGCUGUGGAGGUAAGCAGAAUAUGUCAUGUAGCGGUGAAAUGCUUAGAUAUGACAUAGAAUACCUAUUGCGAAGGCAGCUUACUACGCAGAUAUUGACGCUCAUGCACGAAAGCGUGGGGAUCAAACAGG